AACACAUGCAAGUCGAGGGGUAACAAGAGGAAAGCUUGCUUUUCUUGUUGACGACCGGCGCACGGGUGAGUAACGCGUAUCCAACCUACCUAUAACUAGGGAAUAACCUUGCGAAAGUAAGACUAAUACCCUAUGAUUUCCUUUGAUGGCAUCAGAUUAGGAAUAAAGAUUUAUCGGUUAUAGAUGGGGAUGCGUCUGAUUAGCUUGUUGGCGGGGUAACGGCCCACCAAGGCAACGAUCAGUAGGGGUUCUGAGAGGAAGGUCCCCCACAUUGGAACUGAGACACGGUCCAAACUCCUACGGGAGGCAGCAGUGAGGAAUAUUGGUCAAUGGGCGGAAGCCUGAACCAGCCAAGUAGCGUGCAGGAUGACGGCCCUAUGGGUUGUAAACUGCUUUUAUACAGGAAUAAAGUUAGCCACGUGUGGUUAUUUGUAGGUACUGUAUGAAUAAGGACCGGCUAAUUCCGUGCCAGCAGCCGCGGUAAUACGGAAGGUCCAGGCGUUAUCCGGAUUUAUUGGGUUUAAAGGGAGCGUAGGCCGUCUGUUAAGCGUGUUGUGAAAUGUAGAUGCUCAACAUCUGAAUUGCAGCGCGAACUGGCAGACUUGAGUGUGCGCAACGUAGGCGGAAUUCGUGGUGUAGCGGUGAAAUGCUUAGAUAU
rnacentral:rRNA from 1 species